rnacentral:sRNA from 1 species
AGAAUUGUAAGUACUCACAGCUUGGCUGAAGAUGAUGUGGAAUGAGAAACAAAUGUCAACAUAAUAAAAUCUCUGUUAAAAAUA